UACGAAGGGGGCUAGCGUUGUUCGGAAUUACUGGGCGUAAAGCGCACGUAGGCGGACAUUUAAGUCAGGGGUGAAAUCCCGGGGCUCAACCCCGGAACGGCCUUUGAUACUGGGUGUCUUGAGUUCGGAAGAGGUGAGUGGAAUUGCGAGUGUAGAGGUGAAAUUCGUAGAUAUUCGCAGGAACACCAGUGGCGAAGGCGGCUCACUGGUCCGAUACUGACGCUGAGGUGCGAAAGCGUGGGGAGCAACAGG
rnacentral:rRNA from 1 species